GACGAACGCUGGCGGCGUGCCUAAUACAUGCAAGUCGAGCGCAGGAAAUCGACGGAACCCUUCAGGGGGAAGUCGACGGAAUGAGCGGCGGACGAGUGAGUAACACGUAAAGAACCUGCCCUCAGGUCUGGGAUAACCACGAGAAAUCGGGGCUAAUACCGGAUGGGUCAUCGGACCGCAUGGUCCGAGGAUGAAAGGCGCUUCGGCGUCGCCUGGGGAUGGCUUUGCGGUGCAUUAGCUAGUUGGUGGGGUAAUGGCCCACCAAGGCGACGGUGCAUAGCCGACCGGAGAGGGUGAUCGGCCACACUGGGACUGAGACACGGCCCAGACUCCUACGGGAGGCAGCAGUAGGGAAUCUUCCACAAUGGACGAAAGUCUGAUGGAGCAACGCCGCGUGAACGAUGAAGGCCUUCGGGUCGUAAAGUUCUGUUGUAAGGGAAGAACAAGUGCCGCAGGCAAUGGCGGCACCUUGACGGUACCUUGCGAGAAAGCCACGGCUAACUACGUGCCAGCCGCCGCCGUAA
rnacentral:rRNA from 1 species